CAUUGCUUAUUUCAUAGGAGCUAUGUGAAUAUUUCUGUCUUCCAGAGCAGGAAUCUCCUCCCGAAGAGCUGGUGAUGGAGGAACCACCACCAUUUCACAUAAGUUGGGACUGGAAAAUUUCACCGUUGUCGACAAGACUGUGUGACUUCUCCAGUCUCAGGGCAGUAGUGGCACUCCAGAAAGCAAAUGGCUCAUGGGACCUGACCUCAGCCCUGACCUCAGCCUUGAGGCUCAGCAAGGCUGAAGUUAAGGGCCAAAGGCCCAGUAAGCAUGUGAAGCCGACUGCCUGGGCCACAGUGUUGGCCUUAGUCUGGUUGCACCGGUAUAAAUGGAGGGUAUCUUGGUCAGAACUUCUGGAGGCCAAGUCUUGUAGGUGGCUACGGGACCAAACUGAGAUCCAUCUGGAUGAAUGUCUGGAAGCAGCAAAUUCCCUCUUAGGUUGCUUGGUAGAGCCCAUCAGCUUCAGGAUGUGAACUUCCCCAUACUACUGGGAGUGAGCAAAAAGUUGGUCAGGGAUGCAGCCAGGAUUAGUGACCUAAACUGUCUGAAAGGAUAUUCAGUAUCAUUAAUACAACGCUAAAAAUAAAAUAUGAAAAAGAAAAAUGGAGGGGAGAGGAGAAGAGAGGGCAGGGCAGGGCAAGGGGAGGGGGAAACUGGGGCAAGUUGAGGCUGGAGUAGGGGACAUUGUCUUCCAGAGAAGGCAUUGCUUAGAGAUUGGAUGGGCAUCAGUUUACUUGUAGGAGAUGGUGAGUGCCUUUGCAUCAGAACUGGUUGCCUACGCAUUAUUUGUUUUUUCCCCUCUUUUCUUCAUUUAUUAAACUGUCUAUAUCUUGACAUGAGUCCUCUUGCUUUUGCUCUUUUGUGUGCAUCCGAUCCUUCAACCAGUAGCCCCAAAGCCCUAAAGUUCCUUUCGGUCACUUUUGGUCUUCUCUUUUCUAUCUUAUCAGUGCCAACAUGAAAAACCAAUAAAGGGUAAUAAUCAGAGGGAUGUACCAGAUGAGCGGCUUUCCAAGUGAUGUCUCUUACCUGAGCCC
rnacentral:lncRNA from 1 species